rnacentral:rRNA from 1 species
AUGAACAGAGUGGCUUCAGAGCUCAACAGAAGCAUUAUCGAUGGCUCAAACGCGCUUUCGUAUGAAGCCGGAACCGUGGAAUCCAACACCAAAAUUAGGGAUACAAUGAAGAAGUUCAUCACCCGUUGUCGCAAGAUAGUGGGUAUGCUUGGGUGCGCUCACGCGGCCAACGUCCAUGAUCCUGCUCAUGAAGGGUCCAUGCGUGCCAUUGCUUCAUCAAGCCAUGCCGGCGGAGCUUCCUCUACUCAUGUUGCCUCGUCAUCCCGCGUUGUUGAGCAACAAGAGGAAGAAGAAACAGAGGACGGCGAAGAAGAGGAGGAGGAGGACGCAGAGGAGGAGGACGCAGAAGAAGAAGAGGAGGAGGACGCAGAGGAGUACGAUGACAAUGACGGGCCUCAACCGACGCAGCCAAGCCAGGGGAAGAGGGUAUCUCAUCCACACCAGGAUAUUUUGAGCCCAUCCCCGUUUCAGAAACCGGUUCCUCGUCGUCGCACGAAGUAA